GAUGAACGCUGGCGGCGUGCCUAAUACAUGCAAGUCGAGCGAAUGGAUUAAGAGCUUGCUCUUAUGAAGUUAGCGGCGGACGGGUGAGUAACACGUGGGUAACCUGCCCAUAAGACUGGGAUAACUCCGGGAAACCGGGGCUAAUACCGGAUAACAUUUUGAACCGCAUGGUUCGAAAUUGAAAGGCGGCUUCGGCUGUCACUUAUGGAUGGACCCGCGUCGCAUUAGCUAGUUGGUGAGGUAACGGCUCACCAAGGCAACGAUGCGUAGCCGACCUGAGAGGGUGAUCGGCCACACUGGGACUGAGACACGGCCCAGACUCCUACGGGAGGCAGCAGUAGGGAAUCUUCCGCAAUGGACGAAAGCCUGACGGAGCAACGCUGCGUGAGUGAUGAAGGCUUUCGGGUCGUAAAACUCUGUUGUUAGGGAAGAACAAGUGCUAGUUGAAUAAGCUGGCACCUUGACGGUACCUAACCAGAAAGCCACGGCUAACUACGUGCCAGCAGCCGCCGCAG
rnacentral:rRNA from 1 species